UUCCUCUUCUCAAGGGGACAUUCAUGGUUCUCCCCUCCCCAUUUUUUAAUCUUCUCAACAAUUCUGUGAGGUAGGUUAUAGACUGAGAGAUGAUUGGCCCAAGGUCACCCAGCAAACUUUAUGGCCGAGUGGGGAUUUAAACCCUGGUCUCUCAGGUCCUCCUCUGAAGCUGAAGCCAUAUACUACUGUGACUCUAUUCAGAUCCGGGAUAAAGGCAGAAAGAGUGUUAUGAAUGUAAUCCCAAUGGGGGUUACAAAUUUAAUCCCAAAUGUUUAUUAUGUCAUGUAGUCUUCUUACAUUUGCCAUAUAAAGGCAUAGAUGAUAGCUAAGAAAAAAAGCGGGUGGAACAUAUUUUUGGAGACAUCAGUGUGCUUAUCCCAAAACUGGAAAUAUCUCGAGAAAUCAGGACUGUGUGUAAUGUUAGAAUCCUAGAAUUGAAGAGUUGGAAGGGACCCUGAGAAUCAUCUAGUCCAACACUUUGCAAUGCAGGAAUAUGCAGUUGUCCCAUGUGGGGAUUGAACCUGCAACAUUGGCAUUAUCAGCACCAUGUUUUGUUGUCCUUGUUUUGAAAUUCUGCAUGUUUUUGUUUGUUUGUUUGUUUGACAACUAACGUGCCAGCUAAUAUUUAUGUUCUGGUGUUAAAGGAAGAUGGCAGAUUACUACUAGCAAUAGCUGGGUUUGGGGAAUCAGCUACUGUUUUAAUACAAAUUCAGUACAUUCCAGCAUUUGAUACACAUACUGAGAAAGGGAGGAUGUGUGAUUUGGUGGCGGGUUGCAACAGAUGGUUGCAUAAUCCUGUUUGUCUCCAUUCUUCCAGGGUCAGGUACUAUUUCUCCUUGCCAGGGUUUUUGUUUUCUUUUUAAUAUGAAGUCUUAAACAGUUGGAUGAACUAUUUUGCACUAUUUUCUUCCCAGGAUAAAAGGCUGCCUCUCUCUCUGUGACGAUAAUGGCAUAUGGCACAGACAAUGGUUAAAACAAAGGAAGAAUCACAGAGAAUUGUUCAUGCUGAAGUUGGUAGCCUUCAGAGCUGCAUGUACUCAGUUUCCAAAAGCCUGCGCCAGGUUAUUCACAUUCCACUACAGGAAAAAUAAACACAUUUGAAUGGUU